GUAGGUAAGUGUGUGCCUUGGUAACAAUAGUUUUUCAGAAUUUAGAAUUGAAAUAAUUAAUUUAUAAUGCAAUUCUUUCGAUAUCGUUAAGAGUUAACUAAGAGUGCCAGCACACGAACAGUAGUUUUUAUUGGACAUAAUUAUCAACAUACCCAGCAUGAUGGUGUUCAUUUAUACGAUCUUGAAAGGCGUCCAGGAUCACAAAGACAUGUGUCUGUUUACGGCUCAGUUUUUUUCAUUACUGCAAGCAAUUUUCAUUAAAUUUAUUCCUACCGUAGCAGCCACCAUGUUGUCUCAAGAAGCUGAGAGAAUGAGAAUUGUUUUACACAAUAGACUGUUCGAAGAACAUGAUCAAAAUCAAACGCAAGAUUUUGAAAGGUUCAUCAAGUAUGUAGAAGUUCGUCCUUUCAAAUUCUACAUGCUGUCUAUAAUCCCCAUGGACGUGAAACUUCUUCUCAUUGUAUUCGAUUUCAGCGCUACUUACCUAAUUGUGCUUAUCCAACUUACACA